rnacentral:tRNA from 1 species
GGUCUGUUAGUUUAAAUUAAAACAAAGAGUUUGUAACUCUAGAUUACCAGAAUUCAGGUGUAGACCU